rnacentral:miRNA from 2 species
CCUCAGAUGUGUCUACUAGUCU